UACGUAGGGUCCGAGCGUUGUCCGGAAUUAUUGGGCGUAAAGAGCUCGUAGGCGGUUUGUCGCGUCUGCUGUGAAAUCCCGAGGCUCAACCUCGGGUCUGCAGUGGGUACGGGCAGACUGGAGUGCGGUAGGGGAGAAUGGGAUUCCUGGUGUAGCGGUGGAAUGCGCAGAUAUCAGGAGGAACACCGAUGGCGAAGGCAGUUCUCUGGGCCGUAACUGACGCUGAGGAGCGAAAGCGUGGGGAGCGAACAGG
rnacentral:rRNA from 1 species